UAAGGCCAUACCACCCUGAAGAUGCCCCAUCAUCUUCUCUGAUCUCAGAAGCUAAGCAGGGUCAGGUCUGGUUAGUACUUAGAUGGGAGAAUGUGCAUGAGACACUGGCCUCUUCAU
ensembl:rRNA 5S_rRNA 5S ribosomal RNA